GUUGAACGCUGGCGGCAUGCCUUACACAUGCAAGUCGAACGGCAGCACGGGAGCAAUCCUGGUGGCGAGUGGCGAACGGGUGAGUAAUAUAUCGGAACGUGCCCAGUCGUGGGGGAUAACGCAGCGAAAGCUGUGCUAAUACCGCAUACGAUCUCUGGAUGAAAGCGGGGGACCUGCAAGGGCCUCGCGCGAUUGGAGCGGCCGAUAUCAGAUUAGCUAGUUGGUGGGGUAAAGGCCCACCAAGGCGACGAUCUGUAGCUGGUCUGAGAGGACGACCAGCCACACUGGAACUGAGACACGGUCCAGACUCCUACGGGAGGCAGCAGUGGGGAAUUUUGGACAAUGGGGGGCAACCCUGAUCCAGCAAUGCCGCGUGAGUGAAGAAGGCCUUCGGGUUGUAAAGCUCUUUGUCUAGGGAAGAAACGGUAGAGUUCUAAUAAAGACUUGCUAAUGACGGUACCUGAGAAUAAGACACCGGCUAACUUACGUGCCA
rnacentral:rRNA from 1 species